UCCGGAGGGUGCAAUCGUUACUCGGAAUCACUGGGCGUAAAGGGCGCGUAGGCGGCCUAGCAAGUCUGGUGUGAAAGCCCAGGGCUCAACCCUGGAAGGGCACUGGAAACUGUUAGGCUUGAGUUCCGGAGAGGAGGGGGGAAUUCCCGGUGUAGCGGUGAAAUGCGUAGAUAUCGGGAGGAAUACCGGUGGCGAAGGCGCCCCUCUGGACGGAAACUGACGCUGAGGCGCGAAAGCGUGGGGAGAAAACAGG
rnacentral:rRNA from 1 species